rnacentral:rRNA from 1 species
AUGGAGGGCGGCGCUCACGAGUUCGACGGCUCGGCCUUCAGGGAGUGCUUCUCCCUCUCCUGGCGGAACCCCUACGUCCUCCGCCUCGCCUUCUCCGCCGGCAUCGGCGGCCUCCUCUUCGGCUACGACACCGGUGUCAUUUCAGGGGCACUGCUUUACAUCCGCGACGAUUUCCGCUCCGUCGACAAGAACACAUGGCUUCAGGAAAUGAUCGUGAGCAUGGCGGUGGCCGGCGCCAUCAUCGGCGCGGCGGUCGGCGGCUGGGCCAACGACAGGUUCGGGCGGCGGACGUCCAUCCUCGUGGCCGACCUGCUCUUUUUCGCGGGCGCGGUGGUCAUGGCUUCGGCGACGGGCCCCGUGCAGCUCGUGGUCGGCCGCGUCCUCGUCGGCCUAGGCGUCGGUAUGGCAUCCAUGACGGCGCCGCUUUACAUCUCCGAGGCGUCGCCGGCGAGGAUCAGGGGCGCGCUCGUCAGCACCAACGGCUUCCUCAUCACCGGCGGCCAGUUCUUGUCCUACCUUAUCAACCUCGCAUUCACCAAGGCGCCGGGGACGUGGAGGUGGAUGCUCGGAGUCGCCGGCCUCCCUGCCGUGUUCCAGUUCGUCCUCAUGCUCUUCCUCCCCGAAUCGCCAAGAUGGCUUUACAGAAAGGGGAGGGUGGAGGAAGCAGAAGCGAUCCUGCGUAAGAUAUACACGGCCGAGGAGGAGGUGACGAGGGAGAUGCAGGAGUUGAAGGAGUCGGUGGAGGUGGAGGCGCGGGAGCGGGGCUCGUCGGAGAAGGUAAGCCUGACGGCGCUGGCGAAGACGCCAACUGUGCGGCGGGCGCUGGUGGCCGGCGUCGGGCUGCAGGUGUUCCAGCAGCUCGUGGGUAUCAACACCGUGAUGUACUACAGCCCGAGUAUCGUGCAGCUCGCCGGGUUCGCCUCCAACCAAACGGCGCUCGCGCUCUCGCUGGUCACCUCCGGCCUCAACGCGCUCGGCUCCAUCGUUAGCAUCUACUUCAUUGACCGCACCGGCCGGAGGAAGCUGCUGGUGAUCAGCCUCGUCGGCGUCAUCGCGUCGCUUGCCCUGCUCUCCGCGGUGUUCCACCAGACAACCACACACUCGCCCGCCGUCGGCAGCGCGGAGACCAGACACUUCGAUGGCUCGCUCACAUGCCCGGGCUACCGGACGAGCAGCUCCGGCUGGGACUGCACCCGGUGCCUCAAGGCCAGCUCGACGGGGUGCGGCUUCUGCGCGUCCGGCGCCGGCAGCAAGCUGCUCCCGGGCGCGUGCCUGCUGUCGAACGCGACGGUGCGCGACGCGUGCCACGGCGAGGGGCGACUGUGGUACACGCGCGGCUGUCCGAGCCGAUACGGUUGGCUGGCGAUGGUCGGGCUGGCUCUGUACAUCGCCUUCUUCUCGCCGGGAAUGGGCACGGUGCCCUGGAUCGUCAACUCAGAGAUCUACCCGCUGCGGCACCGCGGUGUGUGCGGUGGCGUGGCGGCGACCGCGAACUGGGUGUCCAACCUGGUAGUGGCGCAGUCGUUCCUGACGCUGACGGAGGCCAUCGGCCCCGCGUGGACGUUCCUCAUCUUCGGUUGCCUGUCCGUGGCAGCGCUCGCGUUCGUGCUCGUCUGCGUGCCGGAGACCAAGGGACUCCCCAUCGAGGAGGUGGAGAAGAUGCUGGAGAUGCGGGAGCUCAGGCUCAAGUUCUGGGCACCGCGUGGCCGCGGCAGCAAGAACGACGGGGUGUGA